UUGAAAUCUGUCAUUCUCAUGUAUAAUAAUUGAUCUUGGAAUUAUAAAUAAUCGUUGCUUCGUUCUCGAACGAAUAUUUCAAGUAAAAGAAAAAAAAAAUAAAAAAAUAACACCAAAUAAAAAUUUUAAUGUCCGAUAUAUCCAACAAAAGUCCAACAAAAUUUAAUUUAUACAUCGUAUGGAAGCGGGUACUUCAACACGAACGGCCACGAACAGGAACCGAGUAUACCUACACCAAUUAAAUGAAUAAGUGAACAAAUACUCUAAUAGUUAAAUUAAUAAGCAAAUAAAAAAAAGAAGAAAAAAAGGGAGAGAAUGGUAUGAUAGAAUCAAGUAAUAUCAGCAUCAUUAAAUGUUGCAUUAAUUGAAUGGCCGAAGAAAUCAUAUCAAAUUAUAUCCUAAAAUCAUAUCCUAUCCUCUGACAGAGCAUAUCCUAAAAUCAUAUUGUAAAAUCAUAUCCUAUUCUGUAAUAUUUUAAAAGAUAGGUCUCCACUUGCAUCUUAUCACUUGCAUAUUAUUCUUGCAAGAUACGCCACUUGCAUCUUUCAUGUAUAUGUACAUAUAUACAAAUCUUUUUGUCUCACCCACAUCACCAUCAAAUUCUAAGUUCUCAACACACCCCAACCCAACAUGAAUAGAGGAAGGAGAGUUGCAGAUAAUUGUAAGAUCAAGUCCUCAAUCCAACAACACUUUAUUCCACAUAAGAAGCGAUGGCGGAUCCGCGACGACGGCUGCGUUGGUGGAACCUCGGCGGCGGCGUGAGGCUGGACCGGGAGAGAGAGAGGGGGAGCGUGCAGACGGCGGACUUCCGGGAGAAGGGCGACAGCAGCAGCCUGACCCGGCGGGGACAGCAGCAGCUCCUCCGGCGUUCGACGGAGGCGGAUCCGCGGCUCCGGCAGAUCCGCGAGGCGGCUCCGGCAGAUCCGCGAGGCGGCGCCGGCAGAUCGGGGGAGAGAGAGAGAGAGAAGGCAGCGGCGUACGGUGAAGAGGGAGAGAAGAGAAAGGGAGAGAUGAGGAGGAGGAAGAGAACACCGUCGGAGACGAAAACGGAAGCGGAGGCGGUGCCGGUGGGGUGGCUGGUCGACGAAUAGAAGAGGGAGUUUUUUUUCCUAAUUUUUGUGCAAUUUGGGGAUUUGGCAGAGAGGGACAAACCGACGGGUUUGGUGAUAAGGAGUAUAGGCUUUAUGCCUUCUUAAUUAAUUGGAAUUGGGCCAUUAAAAUAGUGAAUUCAUUUUAGUUUUUGGGCCAAGGAAAUUCAUCAUGAAUGGGCCUAUCCAUGGAGUAUGAGAUAUACAUUAAUUAAUUGUUGGGCCACUUGAUGGAAUUAAUAAUUGGGCUGGAAAUGUUUUAAAAGAGAGUGGAGGAAAGGUCAAUAAAAUCGUUUUGGGCCGAGAUUUAA